rnacentral:rRNA from 1 species
GAUGAACGCUAGCGGCAGGCCUAACACAUGCAAGUCGAGGGGUAGAGGAAGCUUGCUUCCUUGAGACCGGCGCACGGGUGCGUAACGCGUAUGCAAUCUACCUUUUACAGAGGGAUAGCCCAGAGAAAUUUGGAUUAAUACCUCAUAGUAUAUAUCAUUCGCAUGUUUGGUAUAUUAAAGUUCCAACGGUAAAAGAUGAGCAUGCGUCCCAUUAGUUAGUUGGUAAGGUAACGGCUUACCAAGACGAUGAUGGGUAGGGGUCCUGAGAGGGAGAUCCCCCACACUGGUACUGAGACACGGACCAGACUCCUACGGGAGGAAGCAGUGAGGAAUAUUGGUCAAUGGACGCAAGUUUGAACCAGCCAUGCCGCGUGCAGGAAGACGGUCCUAUGGAUUGUAAACUGCUUUUGUACGGGAAGAAACACUCCUACGUGUAGGAGCCUGACGGUACCGUAAGAAUAAGGAUCGGCUAACUCCGUGCCAGCAGCCGCGGUAAUAC